rnacentral:rRNA from 1 species
UACGUAGGGUGCGAGCGUUGUCCGGAAUUAUUGGGCGUAAAGAGCUUGUAGGCGGUUUGUCGCGUCUGCCGUGAAAAUCCGAGGCUCAACCUCGGACUUGCGGUGGGUACGGGCAGACUAGAGUGUGGUAGGGGAGACUGGAAUUCCUGGUGUAGCGGUGAAAUGCGCAGAUAUCAGGAGGAACACCGAUGGCGAAGGCAGAUCUCUGGGCCGUAACUGACGCUGAGGAGCGAAAGCGUGGGGAGCGAACAGG